rnacentral:pre_miRNA from 1 species
AUGCAGGGCAAUCUGUCUUUAAGUAUGGGAUAAAUUUCUCUUUUAAAAAAUUAAAUAAAUAAGAUUCCUAGAGCAUUUUCCCUUCAACUCAAGAAUUUUGU